GUCCUUCUGUGCGAAUUUUAAAAGAUGUUUCACCUUAAACUAAUAUGAUGAAAAUUUCAUUUACCGGGAGGUACAGCUGUAAAAUGUACACGAGUAAUGUUCGAUGCAGUACUUUUUAUCCUUAUUUUUGAUAAAGGAAGAAAAUCCAAAAGUUUUCAAUGAAUACAAAACCGUCAAAAGAGUUCUCUGAACCAAAGGAGCUGUUUUAGUUUGCUACUGUUCUUGAUUCAAAAGGACUCCACGAAACUAUUUUGGGUAAGAGACUCUUCUGAUGACGCAUUGCGAGUUCGUAACGAAAUACGAAGUUGCUCGUUUGCAUAAGGUGCAACCGGAUUCAGCAAUCUUCCUAUUCUCAUGCGUGCUUUCAUCCGAUUUCGGCGGAUUCUGUUACAAUGCAUCAAUAUAACAUUUCUCAAUAAAAUUUUUUCUUUUCUAUUA